rnacentral:rRNA from 1 species
AACGAACGCUGGCGGCAGGCUUAACACAUGCAAGUCGAACGCCCCGCAAGGGGAGUGGCAGACGGGUGAGUAACGCGUGGGAAUCUACCCAGUUCUACGGAACAACACAGGGAAACUUGUGCUAAUACCGUAUACGCCCUACGGGGGAAAGGUUUAUUCGGAAUUGGAUGAGCCCGCGUUGGAUUAGCUAGUUGGUGAGGUAACGGCUCACCAAGGCGACGAUCCAUAGCUGGUCUGAGAGGAUGAUCAGCCACACUGGGACUGAGACACGGCCCAAACUCCUACGGGAGGCAGCAGUGGGGAAUAUUGGACAAUGGGCGCAAGCCUGAUCCAGCCAUGCCGCGUGAGUGAUGAAGGCCUUAGGGUUGUAAAGCUCUUUCAGUGGGGAAGAUAAUGACGGUACCCACAGAAGAAGCCCCGGCUAACUUCGUGCCAGCCGCCGCCGUAAAAC